rnacentral:rRNA from 1 species
AGAGUUUGAUCAUGGCUCAGAACGAACGCUGGCGGCAGGCCUCAAACAUGCAAGUCUAGGGGGCGUAGCAAUACGUCACCGGCGGACGGGUGCGUAACACGUGGGAACAUACCUUUCGGUACGGAACAACUGCGGGAAACUGCAGCUAAUACCGUAUACGUCCUUCGGGAGAAAGAAUUUCGCCGAAAGAUUGGCCCGCGUUCGAUUAGCUAGUUGGUGAGGUAACGGCCCACCAAGGCUCCGAUCGAUAGCUGUUCUGAGAGGAAGAUCAGCCACACUGGGACUGAGACACGGCCCAGACUCCUACGGGAGGCAGCAGUUGGGAAUCUUGGACAAUGGGGGAAACCCUGAUCCAGCCAUGCCGCGUGAGUGAUGAAGGCCUUCGGGUUGUAAAGCUCUUUUGCCCGGGAAGAUAAUGACGGUACCGGGAGAAUAAGCUCCGGCUAACUUCGUGCCAGCAGCCGCGGUAAUACGAAGGGGGCUAGCGUUGUUCGGAAUUACUGGGCGUAAAGCGUGCGCAGGCGGCUUCCCAAGUCAGUGGUGAAAGCCCGGAGCUCAACUCCGGAAAUGCCAUUGAAACUGUGAAGCUUGAGAACGAGAGAGGUGAGUGGAAUUCCCAGUGUAGAGGUGAAAUUCGUAGAUAUUGGGAAGAACACCAGUGGCGAAGGCGGCUCACUGGCUCGUAACUGACGCUCAUGCACGACAGCGUGGGGAUCAAACAGGAUUAGAUACCCUAGUAGUCC